GAUGAACGCUGGCGGCGUGCCUAAUACAUGCAAGUCGAGCGAACAGACGAGGAGCUUGCUCCUCUGACGUUAGCGGCGGACGGGUGAGUAACACGUGGAUAACCUACCUAUAAGACUGGGAUAACUUCGGGAAACCGGAGCUAAUACCGGAUAAUAUAUUGAACCGCAUGGUUCAAUAGUGAAAGACGGUUUUGCUGUCACUUAUAGAUGGAUCCGUGCCGCAUUAGCUAGUUGGUAAGGUAACGGCUUACCAAGGCGACGAUGCGUAGCCGACCUGAGAGGGUGAUCGGCCACACUGGAACUGAGACACGGUCCAGACUCCUACGGGAGGCAGCAGUAGGGAAUCUUCCGCAAUGGGCGAAAGCCUGACGGAGCAACGCCGCGUGGGUGAUGAAGGUCUUCGGAUCGUAAAACUCUGUUAUUAGGGAAGAACAAAUGUGUAAGUAACUAUGCACGUCUUGACGGUACCUAAUCAGAAAGCCACGGCUAACUACGUG
rnacentral:rRNA from 1 species